UACGUAGGGGGCUAGCGUUGUCCGGAAUCAUUGGGCGUAAAGCGCGUGUAGGCGGCCCGAUAAGUCCGCUGUGAAAGUCCAGGGCUCAACCCUGGGAUGCCGGUGGAUACUGUCGGGCUCGAGUCCGGAAGAGGCGAGUGGAAUUCUUGGUGUAGCGGUGAAAUGCGCAGAUAUCAGGAGGAACACCAAUGGCGAAGGCAGCUCGCUGGGACGUGACUGACGCUGAGACGCGAAAGCAUGGGGAGCGAACAGG
rnacentral:rRNA from 1 species